rnacentral:lncRNA from 1 species
ACAAGAGAAAACACCAUAAACACCUAAGUGUACGUGACAGCUGGAAAUGAAAAAAGAAAAAAAAGAAAAAAAAUCUUCUAAGUAUUUAAUAAUAUAUAAACAUAGUGUAGUGUAAUUUUGAGUUGCUGUUUAAGAUCAAGAUUAUUUAAUGAAGCAAAACAGCAUAAAUGGAAACUAGAGAAAAACCCACCAAAACAGCUGUUAGGAAGCAGAGAUGCACCAGCAUCGAGGCAUAAUAAACACCAGCCACAAGCGUGAUCACAGCUCUCACACUCUUUGAUUGAAGACAGGGAAAACCAGCAACACCCCACUUGCCAGCACUGACAGAGAUGACCAUUCAGUAUUGUCAAUUCCCCGGGGAUGACAGACAAGAAAAAGCAGAUGGCUCUGAAGACAGCAGCCGGCUAUGGAAGCUGCAGGGAAUUUGGACAAAAGGAGCCCAGAUCUCUUACAGCAGAACAUCCCCAAGCACCAAGGACCUGUGGUUGGGUGCAUCUGCCUGGAGUACGAAAACAGAGCAGCUCUCCUCAGAAGAUGUCUGCACCAGCUGACAAUGUUUCAGAUGGCAGCUCUACUACUU